rnacentral:misc_RNA from 1 species
GGAAGUAAAAGUCGUAACAAAGUUUCCGUAGGUGAACCUGCGGAAGGAUCAUUAUUGUAUAACCGAGGUGCGAGGGCUGUCGCUGACCCGAAAGGUCGUGCACGCCCGAGUGCCCUCACACACAUCCAUCUCACCCCUAUGUGCACCACCGCGUGGGUCCCCCUUUGGCUUGUUCGGAGGGGGGCUUACGUUUUCACACAAACUUUGUAUGCAGUGUAGAAUGUAUUUUUUGUUUUUGCGAUCACGCAAUCAAUACAACUCUCAACAACGGAUCUCUUGGCUCUC